CCUAGAUGGAGGAUAGAGCCCUGACCCCCAGGGAGUGAAGCUUGUGACCCAGAUGCCCCACGUUGGAAACCGAGGACACAGUUCUGAGUCGCUACCCAGGCCCCUGCCUAUGCCCCAAUGGGCAUGUUUCCCCUCUGAUCACCAUCUUCACAAUAUUUCACCCAUGGGGGUGGAGUGCAGUCUCUGCCGAAAGCGAAGAACUCACUGGUUGUCCUGGCUCUCGCAGGAGCAGGGAACUAUGCAGUCUGGAAAACCUGGAGGUGAGGAGAGAGAGAGACACUGGUCUUUACCCAAGAGAGGGGCCUAGAGGCUAGAAUGGAUGCCCUUGCUAAACCCUGGAGGGGGAAUACAGGGAAAGUCCAUGGAUCUUGUCCCACUCUGCUACAGCCUGGAUACUGCUGAGGUUGCUUCUGGCUGGAAGAAAACAAAGCCAAGAGUCUUAUCUACAACACAUCCCUGAAGAAACACUACGCCUUUGUGCAGAUAACACAAUUGAGCAAACUCGGCAAUGCUAAAAGGGCUGAACUUUUAACAUUUGCACUGCAAGCACCUUUCUGAGGAAUUACAGAGCCACCCACAGUGACAGCAAAAUGGACACAUU